UGCAACACUCUGAGCAACUGUUCUCAGUUCUUCUGCCUUAUUUCUGGCCUCCGUUGCAACUGUUUUGACCUAGUGAAGGCCUAGACUUUCUCAGACAGAUUUCUUUUAACUCUUCUGCCCUGACUCCAGUCUUCACUGGGAUGCUGCCUUGCACUUAGGGAAGGUUCACAUGCCUCAAGGAUCUCUCUCUCUCAGAUUUCUUGACUUUCCCUCAGUCUUCAGUAUAGUCCUCCUCUGUGCCUGGUGAAGACCUGUGGUAAAGUGCUGGCAGAGAGGAAGCUAAAUCACGUAAAAAUUAAGAAACAGCUCAGCGUUUCACAGCUAGGCUAGGCUUACACCCAAUUUAUGGUCAUCUUGCUCAUGCUCAUCCUGCACAAUUUCUAGCAUUUGGAGAAUGUUUCUCAUGGUAGCAUCUAAUGCCUGUGGCUGCUGAGAGAAAGCAGCGAUGAGGGGAAGACACUGACCUCUGUUUGGAGCUGCCGGCUUCCCCUUGAAGGAAUAGGAGUAGACCUGCUGAACUAUCACAUGAGAGAAGAGGCCCAAAAGCUUGCACACUACAGUCAAGCUGGCCCUUAAAGAGAUGGACCUAGAAGAUGCUGAGCCAGAUGUACUCAAUUACUUCUCCAAAAUUCAUCAAUUAGAACUGCUUCUUGCUGCCGCCAUAUGAAGAAGGACGUGUUCGCUUCCCCUUCCUCCAUGAUUGUAAGUUUCCUGAGACCUCGCCAGCCAUGCUGAACUGAAUACAACAUGUUUAAGACCACAGAACAUCUGCAUAGGCUGUAAAUUUCGUUGAAUGAUGGAUGCAAAGAUGGAAGACAGAUGGAUAGAGGAAAAGACAGAAUCAGAUACUGGAUGAGUUAGUACUGCUGCCUGUGCUUCAGAGCUGUCUUAUUACCACAAGGCCGGCAAGCAUCAAUGUCCCCACAUCCCCCUCUGCCUCCCCCUGAAAUGUACCGAUUUAUAUGAAAAUUAAGAUUACAAAUUAAAGCCUGGCUAUCCUGGAGUUUUCCAGUUCAUCAGCCAUCCAAUAAAAAUGAUGUCAAGCCUGUAUGCAUAAUUCCCGGAAGAUUACUUUCGUCCUUACAGCUAAGCCCUGUCCCUGAUAUGAAAGAUCUCUAUCCACUUUUAUUGAAAUAAAGAACUAACAUCAUAAUCCCAAUAUUGAGGUAUAAUCUUCAUUAUCUCCUGACCCUCUUGAGGUUCCCCCAAUCUAUAUUACUUCAGAUUUGGUUUAUGUGUAAUCCUUAUGUAUUUACUUUUAUUGAGAUAGGAUUAAAAACUAAAAAAAAAGCUUCAA
rnacentral:lncRNA from 10 species